rnacentral:misc_RNA from 1 species
GAUGAAGAACGCAGCGAAAUGCGAUAACUAAUGUGAAUUGCAGAAUUCAGUGAAUCAUCGAGUCUUUGAACGCACAUUCCGCCCCCUGGUAUUCCGGGGGGCAUGCCUGUCCGAGCGUCAUUGCCGCCCUCAAGCACGGCUUGUGUGUUGGGCUCCGUCCCCCCGGGGACGGGCCCGAAAGGCAGCGGCGGCACCGAGUCCGGUCCUCGAGCGUAUGGGGCUUUGUCACCCGCUCUGUAGGCCCGGCCGGCGCCAGCCGACAACCCAUCAUCCUUUUCAGGUUGACCUCGGAUCAGGUAGGGAUACCCGCUGAACUUAAGCAUAUCAAUAAGCGGAGGA